rnacentral:rRNA from 1 species
UACGAGGGGGGCAAGCGUUGUUCGGAAUUAUUGGGCGUAAAGGGUGCGUAGGCGGUCUGACAAGUCUGAUGUGAAAUCUAUGGGCUCAACCCAUAGUCUGCAUCGGAAACUGUCGGGCUUGAGUAUGGGAGAGGUGAGUGGAAUUUCCGGUGUAGCGGUGAAAUGCGUAGAGACCCGGAGGAACACCAGUGGCGAAGGCGGCGUCCUGGCCUGCGACUGACGCUGUGGCGCGAAAGCUAGGGGAGCGAACGGG